GCGAAGAAAAUGUAGGCACGAAACGACCAAUUGGUUUCUCGGCGUUGGUUACUAUCGCUUUUUUCCAAUACCCAAGAAAUUAUAUGGUAUUGACGAAACCUAGAAAAUAUGCUGCUGAGAUGAACGAAGAGUCUAGUAAAUAGAUGAUCUAAGAGAUCCAAAUGUUCAAAAUUCCUGGUAGAAAAAUACAUUCUGCCUUUGAAGAAGAAGAAUAUUACAUUUGUAUCAUACAACAAGGCCCUUGGAUAUA